UAUCUCUCUCUCUCUCUCUCUCACACACACACACACACACACAAAAUGGAGAACCAGACAGAACAAGUGACUUUUGACAUGGAUGCACUCAGGGCCAAUCUUCCGCAAAAGAGGGGGGGAUUGUCAAGGUAUUACUCAGGGAAAGCAAGGUCAUUUACAUGCAUAGCUGAUGUUCGUUGUCUUGAAGAUCUAAAGAAACCAGAACGCCCUGAUCCCAAGAAAAGGCAGAAAUAUUCAGAUAGGAAUGGCUUGCACGUUCCUCCAUAUCCAUGUCGACGAGUAUCUAGCUCCACCCAGUGCAUCUCACCCUGUGUUGGUGUGUGAAAACAGCCAAAUAAGCUUUUUGGCUUCCUUCUGCGAUUUUCUUUUAUUAUUAUUUUGACGCUUUGCCGCAUUGUGUACAGGAGGAAAUCUUCACAAGCAUUUGUAAAUGAUAAUAAAAUUUUGUAGUUCAUAUCUAAA